rnacentral:rRNA from 1 species
UACGUAGGGUGCAAGCGUUAAUCGGAAUUACUGGGCGUAAAGCGUGCGCGGGCGGCUUUGCAAGUCAGAUGUGAAAUCCCCGGGCUUAACCUGGGAACUGCAUUUGUGACUGCAUGGCUGGAGUGCGGCAGAGGGGGAUGGAAUUCCGCGUGUAGCAGUGAAAUGCGUAGAUAUGCGGAGGAACACCGAUGGCGAAGGCAAUCCCCUGGGCCUGCACUGACGCUCAUGCACGAAAGCGUGGGGAGCAAACAGG